rnacentral:rRNA from 1 species
AGAGCGAACGCUGGCGGCAGGCUUAACACAUGCAAGUCGGACGGACCAUCUUCGGGUGGUUAGUGGCGGACGGGUGAGUAACACGUGGGAACGUGCCUUUAGGUUCGGAACAACACAGGGAAACUUGUGCUAAUACCGGAUGUGCCCGAAAGGGGAAAGAUUUAUCGCCUUUAGAGCGGCCCGCGUCUGAUUAGCUAGUUGGUGGGGUAAAGGCUUACCAAGGCUACGAUCAGUAGCUGGU